GAGAAGGAGAGAAGGGGAGGAGGUGAUGAUUUCCUCUAGUUGACUCCUAAAGGUCUCGUUGCUUUACUGUGUUUAACGAGGGAAAACUUGUUUUUUUACCAGAACUUUGAGUUUUUAUAUUACACCUGUCAAUCAACGUGUAGCCCCGCCCCAAAGCAUACCCUGCGUUAUGGUCUAUCAUAGAGCUGUCACUCAGCUUUAUGGUCGUAUGGAGUUAUUUUCUCAUUGAAGGCCUCCAACCUUUCGAGCCUCCAAUGUUUGUGUGGCGGAUAAACACGGGGCGGUGGGGGUGUAGUUGUGCGCUCUGUCCAGAAAGUAGUGGGCAAUUGUAUAAUGUUUUGAAGGCGCUUGCUGACGUUAAAUAUAUUAACUGUGUCAAGAGGACGACACGUAAUUAGGAGGAGGUGGUUGGUCGCUCGCCCCCUGGUGGUCGCUAUAGAGAUUUAGCUCUAAAUCCAUUUUGAGAACUUAAAGUCAUGAAGCUCUGACUUAAUGUUGUGAACCGGAGGUUCCAACACGAGAGCCUUCGUCGCUCCUCGUCUUCAACUACCUGAAGCACUGAAACGUCACUUCAUAACUUCAUAACUCCUGGACGUCGACAUUUUCCUCUCCCGCUAAGAAGAAGAAGAGAUGCAAAAUGAGCAUGUCGAUCAGAGGAUGGAGACGGCGAAGCUACUGCAGGAGUCCAUUGAAGCCCCGCCUCCUGCUUCAUCACAGGAGACUUCUGCACGUUGGCAGAUUGGAGGAAACUUCUAAACACAGAGAACCCUAAAAGUAAAAAGGAUCCUUCACCUUUUCAGAGGGAACAUCUUCUCUGGUUUGAACCACUUUAAUUCAAGUCUGCAGCGAGGACGAGACGGCUCCUCUGUCUCCUUGUUUCCUUCGGCUGCUGCUGCUGUUUCAAGCUGCACUUCUCUGCUAAAAUGAAGCAAUGUUUCCUCCUGCAGCUCCGCUCUUACAUCUUUCAUGUUCCUCUGCACGAUGCUCCUCCUCCUCACCGUCACAUCUCCUCACCUCAAAGCUAACCUGAUCACCUCUCCACUCCCUCAAAAUCUCACCCUUUUUCUCCUUUUACUUUGAGAGGCAAAUCGACCCGACAGCGUGGCCUCCUCUUCCUCUUCCGCCUCCUCUCUCCUCUCUCCUGCUCUCCACCUCCGUCCAUCAUUCUCCUCGCUCCUCUCUCGGCUGAUGACCUUCUAGCGGUGAACCGUCUCCACUCUGACGGCUCCUCAGUGUUUCUCCUCCUUCGCUGUCACUCCUCAUCCAGCCGCGGUGGACUAACCCAGUACUGUCACCUCCUCUGCCUCCUCCUUUCGUCUCUCGUCCUCCUCACUGGUGAUGACCUUCGACCCACAUUAUGUUUCCACCUCGGUGUCUUUUCUGUUUGCACCUGACGACAUCGUUUGUGUUGACACUGUUUAUUCUCUUUUUUACUGAUUUCACUUGAAAAACGGAAGAAUACAAAUAUUGAUCCACUAAGUAAUGUGAUUAGUGAUUAUGACAUCGCCGUACUUAAGUCACGAUACGAUGACAUCGCCGUACUUAAGUCACGAUAAGAUGACAUCGCCGUACUUAAGUCACGAUACGAUGACAUCGCCGUACUUAAGUCACGAUGCGAUGACAUCGCCGUACUUAAGUCACGAUACGAUGACAUCGCCGUACUUAAGUCACGAUACGAUGACGAUUGGAUGAUAUCCCGACACAAUAUGAUAUUUUCAUACUUUGACCACUACUUUUACCAAUUGAUAAUCAAAGAUUGUCGGGUGAAUAUCUUUGAUUAUCAAUCAAAUUGUGUGAUUCUUCGGUGAGGUCCUGAGGUUCUCGUGCUCUAUAAUUCUGGAUCGGUUCUCCGUCGAUGGAUUCAUUGAUUAAUGUCUUAGGAGAAAUCUGCCUGCUCAUCAGUCCUCCUCCUCUUCCUUAAUAUUGUUCCUCCUCCUCCUCCUCUUUCAUCUUCUUCGUCCUCUUCCUCCUUCUUCCUCGGCAGCGAGCCUCUCGCGGUGCUAACCACAUAAAUGCCGAUGUCAGCGGUGAUGGAUGGGUGGGGGGAGAGCUUACCCAGCAUGCACCGCUGGAAGGCAGUGCCAUUAAUUAUCAUUCGCAGCGGAGGCCUGAAGGGGAGCGAUCCGUCUGCUCCUUCGGAGGGAAGAUCUGAGCGCUGCAACGACUCCCACUACUUCCUGUCCAGAAGAAACCCUGAGACCUGAUCUCAGAGGGACCAGCAGAGUCUGAUCAGAGGAAUGGAAGUAUUACGUUCCUCAGGCAAAGUUUAAGUCAGAGAAUAAUGGACGUUGGUUUUGUGACAAAUGGAUUGUACUGUGCAACUAAAUGAAGUCUGAGAAGAAGAACUUCAUCAAUUAAUCACACAGAGAGGAAAUGACUCUUCAUUAAACGACCAAUUUACUGCAGGAAAUACAUACAUUUGAAUGUUUUAUUUGAAAGUGACAAAGUGGUGAUGUUGUCUACAUCUAAGUGAGCUUUCUGUUAUGGUCGGUUUAAUCGGGACCCAGAUGCAGACAGCGAGACGGCAGAUAGGUGGAACAUUUAUCCAGUGCAGUCCGGAGCGCGAGGCGCUGGUUGUUGCCUGGAGAUCCACACUGGUGGAGAAAGGAUGUGGUGAUGGGACCACUGAAGACCGGGAAAUUUCAUCUGACGAGGGUCCAAUGAACCACAGGCGAGGAGCCACGAUGCCAGCUGAUUGCAGCCACGCCCAAACCACACCCACACACAUGCACUCACACGAGGACAAACGGGCGAGUAGCUGGCGUCACGGUGCAGCCGUGUUAUGGGGAGGAACGUUUCCCCCACAGACUUCUGUCUGACCUAAAGAGUCGCCCUCAGUGGUCAUUAGAGAGAAGGCAUUACAUUACAUUAAAUGUCAUGUAGCUGACGCUUUUAUCCAAAGCAACUUACAAUAAGUGCUUUUCAACCACAAGGAGAUUUUCAAAAAGUGCUACAAUUUGUUAAGUCUUUUAGGCCUUUAAGACCAGAGGAGUCGCCCCCCGGUGGUCACUAGAGACGAUGCAGCCUUCAGACCCCUAUAGGACCAGAGGAGUCGCCCCCCGGUGGUCACUAGAGAGAAUGCUGCCUUCAGACCCCUAUAGGACCAGAGGAGUCGCCCCCCGGUGGUCACUAGAGAGAAUGCUGCCUUCAGACCCCUAUAGGACCAGAGGAGUCGCCCCCUGGUGGUCACUAGAGAGAAUGCUGCCUUCAGACCCCUAUAGGACCAGAGGAGUCGCCCCCUGGUGGUCACUAGAGACGAUGCAGCCUUCAGACCCCUAUAGGACCAGAGGAGUCGCCCCCUGGUGGUCACUAGAGACGAUGCAGCCUUCAGACCCCUAUAGGACCAGAGGAGUCGCCCCCUGGUGGUCACUAGAGACGAUGCAGCCUUCAGACCCCUAUAGGACCAGAGGAGUCGCCCCCCGGUGGUCACUAGAGAGAAUGCAGCCUUCAGACCCCUAUAGGACCAGAGGAGUCGCCCCCUGGUGGUCACUAGAGACGAUGCAGCCUUCAGACCCCUAUAGGACCAGAGGAGUCGCCC
ensembl:lncRNA